GUUUCUGUGGUGUAGUGGUUAUCAUGUACGCCUAACACGUGAAAGGUCCCCGGUUCGGGACUGGGCAGAAACA